rnacentral:rRNA from 1 species
CUGCCAGUAGUCAUAUGCUUGUCUCAAAGAUUAAGCCAUGCAUGUGUAAGUAUAAGCAACUUUGUACUUGUGAAACCUGCGAAAGGCUCAUUAAAUCAGUAAUAAUCUAUUCUAUUAUUUAAUCCUAUUUGGAUAACUGUAGUAAUUCUAGAGCUAAUACAUGCAAAAAACCUGGACUUUACAGAACAGGUGUACUUAUUAGACUUUAAAACCGAUUACAAUUUAUUGUAAAUUUAAAAUGAAUUAAAAUAAGUUUAUGAAUCGCAGAUCAUUUUGUGAUGAUAAGAAUGAAUUUCUGCCCUAUCAACUUUCGAUGGUAAUGUAGUGGAUUACCAUGGUGAUGACGGGUAACGGGGAAUUAGGGUUUGAUUCCGGAGAAAAGGCCUGAGAGACGGCCAUUACUUCUAAGGAAGGCAGCAGGCG